rnacentral:lncRNA from 1 species
ACUACUAAUGCUAAUAAAAUAGAAAAGCAAAUGUCCAAAUACUAGGUCUAGUCACGUGGGGUAAACGAUUGAGUAACAGAAUUUAGUACGUGAAAUAUAAUCGAAUAGGUUUAAAGCAGUAUCAUCAAAUGGCCAGCACACAACGAAUUAAUUGAUGCAAUUCUAAAAUAAAGAAAUAGUGUCAACUAAUAAUAAAUAGGAUCAGGAACUCCCUGAGUACUGUUGGCUUGAGUCGUCCCAGCGUCGAAUGUCUCCACGUUCUGAACUACCAAGCCCUGAGAUGCCAAGAUAGGGAAUUCCGUGCUCGUCGAGGUGCGGUACUGAACAGUCACUUAAAAUAAACCUGUAAAUGAUGUCAGAAGAUUUAGAAUUCACGAUACUUUUUUUUUUUUUUUUUUUUUUUUUUUUUUUUUUUUUUUUUUUUUUUUUUUUUUUUUUUUUUUUUUUUUUUUUUUUUUUUUUUAANAAUAAUAAUACAAAAUCAGAAUAACAAAAUAAUAAAUGAGCCCAUUUCACAAAUUUGGGCCUAAAUUGCACUCAAAACCUUAAACAAGCCCAAGCCCAAGCCCAAGCAAUACAAAUAUCCCAGCCCAAAUGAAAUAAGUCCAAACCCAAUUGAUAACUAAUAUACCAAUUAAGCCCAAACCCAAGUAAUAAACUACUACACCAACUAAGCCCAAGCCCAAACCCAAUGCACUACUCAAAACUAAUGUGUUAAACUCCAAGCAAUAUCUUCAUUAAAUUCCAAAAAAAAUUGCUAACGUGUAACCUGUCCCCCUCAAAAUCAACGGUCUCCUCUUUGUCGGCGUCCCUUACGAUAACCCAUUCAUUAACGACACUGGCGACACCAGCCCUCCAUGUCGGCGACCUAUCCAGUCGCGAAAUCCCACGACACACCCUCCACCACUACGGCACUACCAGUUCUGAAGACCGCCGCCGAGAACGGGGGGCAAUCUGCAGUCCCCUGUUGGAAGCUAAGGCGCCGGAAGGUCUGUUAGAAGCAGCCGACGGGUGAUGUUGACGUCGACGGCUUGGAUUCAAGAAACCGGCGACUGUGAUUUGGCGAACGACAGCCUAUCGGGCCUGGUAUGUUGGUUGAAAUUUUUAUCUUUUCCCUGUCUGAGGAUGACGGUUUGAGGUAUGAGGGAGGUCAAUUGCCGUUGGCGAAUUGCUGCAGAUGGUUGCUGGGGAUUUGCAGUUUGCAGAAGGCAGUGGUGGUCACGGCAGGUUAUUUGGUUUGUGGCGGCUUUGGUGCAUCUUUGUUGUGAAGUGCAGUGGACGGGAAUAUUUGCAGAAACGGUGGAGGUGUGAAACUGGAUUCGGCUGAAACGAACUGUAAGCCUUGCAGUGAACGCCUAAAUAUUUUCCCCAGUUCGCUCUGAUACCAAUUUGAUGUAGUGCGAAUAACAAACAAUGAAGAAGGAGAAAGGGGAAGGAGAAGGGGGAAGCCGAGAGGGAAGAAGAGAGGGAAAACGGCUGCAAAACCAACUCUUUAAUUCAUCAAAUUCAUCAACUCAAAUAACAAUGUAAGAUAGGUUUAAAUACUGGAAAAAUAAUGCAAACCUAGGGCCAAGCCCAAUACAAAAGUCCAUAAAAUUAAAAUAACCUAAGUUCCAACUAAAAUAAUUAAAAUUGCUAAAAUUAAUUAAAAUUGGAUGUCCU